rnacentral:rRNA from 1 species
UCCUUUUGUUUUUAUUUAAGGUUUGACCUGCCCUAUGAAAUUUAAAUGGCCGCAGUAUUCUGACUGUGCGAAGGUAGCAUAAUAAUUUGUCUUUUAAUUGGAGGCUUGAAUGAAAGGUUGGACGAGGAACUAACUUUCUUUGUUUUAUUAUUAUGAAUUUUAUUUUCUUGUGAAAAAGCAGGAAUUUUUUUAAGGGACGAUAAGACCCUAUAAAACUUUACUUUUUGGUUUGGGAUGAUUUAUUUAGGUUUUUAUUUUUGUUUUUUUCUAAAAAGUUUUGUUGGGGAGACAGGUAAAUUUAUUGAACUUUAUCUUUUUUUUUCAUUAAUGUAUGAAUAUUUGAUCCAGAUUUUCUGAAUGUAAGAUUAAGUUACUUUAGGGAUAACAGCGUAAUCUUGUUGGAGAGUUCUUAUCGAUGGCAGGGUUUGCGACCUCGAUGUUGGAUUAAAAUUAGUGUCAAAGUGUAGUAGCUUGAUAACUAGGUCUGUUCGACCUUUAAAUUUUUACGUGAUCUGAG